UCCUGUGUAACACAUUUCAUGUGAAUUGAAAGGAGUGCGAUGUAGUUACAAGAAAUAGCUCAUGUGCGCCGUUUUACAUGGCAAUAAUAGCCCCAAUAAGACCAAGUGGUUAAAACACGGGUCCGGUCGCCAACGGGACUGGGGUUAAGGUAGAAACGGGUCAAUAGCUCCUGUGCGACACAUUUCAUGUGAAUUGGAAGGGAUACGACGUUGUUCGAGCAAAUGUCUCUGGUGUAACACAUUUGAGCCAUAAAUAGCCCAGGCACAACAUGACCCUUAAACUCAACUGAUGCCCUCGUUACCUAUUAGUGGUUGGACCCACCACUUAUCCAUGUAUGCGUGGGACCCACCACUUGUACACAUAACAGCAGGAUGAUACGUCUCCGUCGUAUCUACUUUUUCAAACACUUCUGCCCUUGUUUUGGACUCCAACUUGCAUGAUUUGAAUGAAACUAACUCGGACUGACGUUGUUUUCAGCAGAACUGCCAUGGUGUUAGUUUUAUGGAGAAACAAAAGUUCUCGGAAUGACCUGAAAAUCCACGGAGCAACUUUUUAGAAUAAAUAAAAAAUACUGGCGAAAGAAAUAGCGUCAGGGGGCCCACACACUAUCCACGAGGGUGGGGGGCGCGCCCCCUGCCUCGUGGGCCCCCUGAACGUCCACCGACCUCAACUCCAACUCCAUAUAUUUGCUAUCGCGGAUGAAAAAAUUAGAGAGAAAGUUUCAUCGCGUUUUACGAUACAGAGCCGCCGCCAAGCCCUAAUCUCUCUCAGGAGGGCUGAUCUGGAGUCUGUUCGGGGCUCUGGAGAGGGGGAUUCAUCGCCGUCGUCAUCAUCAAUCAUCCCCCAUCACCAAUUUCAUGAUGCUCACCGCCGUGCGUGAGUAAUUCCAUCGUAGGCUUGCUGGACGGUGAUGGGUUAGAUGAGAUUUACCAUGUAAUCAAGUUAGUUUUGUUAGGGUUUGAUCCCCAGUAUCCACUAUGUUCUGAGAUUGAUGUUGCUAUGACUUUGCUAUGCUUAAUGCUUGUCACUAGGGCCCGAGUGCCAUGAUUUCAGAUUUGAAGCUAUUAUGUUUUCAUGAAUAUAUGUGAGUUCUUGAUCCUAUCUUGCAAGUAUAUAGUCACCUAUUAUGUGUUAUGAUCCGACAACCCCGAAGUGACAAUAAUCGGGAUAGUUCUCGGUGAUGACCGUAGUUUGAGGAGUUCAUGUAUUCAUUAAGUGUUAAUGCUUUGGCCCAGUACUCUAUUAAAAGGAGGCCUUAAUAUCCCUUAGUUCCCGUUAGGACCCCGCUGCCACGGGAGGGUAGGACAAAAGAUGUCAUGCAAGUUUUUUUCCAUAAGCACGUAUGACUAUAUUCGGAAUACAUGCCUACAUUACAUUGAUGAAUUGGAGCUAGUUCUGUGUCACCCUAUGUUAUAACUAUUACAUGAGGAAUCGCAUCCGACAUAAUUAUCCAUCAGUGAUCCAAUGCCUACGAGCUUUUCACAUAUUGUGCUUUGCUUAGUUAUUUUACCGUUGCUAUUGUUACAAUUACUACAAAACUACUACUGUUACUUUUGCCACUGUUACCGUUACUUCCAUACUACUUUGCUACUAAAUAUUUUGCUGCAGAUACUAAGUUAUCCAGGUGUGAUUGAAUUGAAAACUCAACUGCAAAUACUUGAGAAUAUUCUUUGGCUCCCCUUGUGCCGAAUCAAUAAAUUUGGGAUGAAUACUCUACCCUCGAAAAUUGUUGCGAUCCCCUAUACUUGUGGGUUAUUAAGACUAUUUUCUGGUGCCGUUGCCGGAGAGCAUAGCUCUACUCUUUGAGUCACUUGGGAUUUAUAUCUGCUGGUCACUAUGACGAACUUGAAAGACGAAAGAACUAAUUUUUUCCCCUCAACUACGAGGGGAGGUAAGAAACUGCCAUCUAGCUCUGCACUAGAUUCUCCUUCUGUUUUGAGUAAGCUUGCGACACCUAAACCUGCUUCUACUCUUAAUUCUGAUAUGUCGCAUGUUAUUGAUGAUGCCACUUAUGCUAUGCAUGAUACUUAUGAUGAAACUACUUCUAUAAUGCUUACCUAUUAAUUGGUGUAGUGCUGCUGUAUACAUUAGAAGUGUUUAUGGCCACAACAACCGGGUGAGGCCCAAGAAGAUGAACUAGAGUUUAUGCUACUAGCCAGCAUCUUAGGGUUUAUGAUUUGUUAUCGUCUCCUUGUCGUUGAACCUUAUUUUACUUUGCUUUCAGCCUCCUAUCGUUGUGGUUUGUUAUUAUUGUAUUGGUGACAAGUAUAUGUGUGUCCAGUUCAUUCGAGUGGUCUACCCUAUUGCUCUGCAUGUUAUUUCAGUUGUCAAUGGGCAUGGAUGAAGAAUUUUCUCUUAUCGUUUCAACCUCCUAUUGUCGUGGCUUGUUAUUAUUGUAUGUAUUACUGUCAAGGUUCCUCCUGCAAUCUUGCCCACAGACAUGUAUUUUGUUUCAAGAAUUUUCUCUUGCGUGUCUCAUGGUCAUGUUAAGAAUUUUGUUGUAAGCGUUUUUUAGUUUCCACACUAGCCGAGACCUGAUCUGUUGACUGUGGCACUAUAUCUGAUUCUCUUUUUUUAAGAAUAUUCAUUCUUGGUAAGCAAUAAUGUUUCGUCAAAAACAAUAGAUAGUAGUAAGAUAUGGGUUUCAUGUGUUUAAUGGUAGGAUAGACUCUUUUCUAAUCCUACACCAAGUGCAUGGCUAUGAGACCUUUAAUUUGUCCAUGCAUUUAUAUCACCUCUAUUGACCAGAGCAGGAUCAUAUCCUCGAGCUCUGUGGUGAUGAUUUUGUUGGGGGAUUGAGGUUAUAGAACAAGGGCUCUAAGUUGGACUAGCUAGGUUGACAAAGAUGGAUUCAUUGACGAAGAUAACUUGGGAGUAGCAAACAUGUAGAUGCCAUAUGGAUUUUGUCUUGAUGAACUUUCUCGUGUCUCGUGGUCAUGCCAAGAGUUUUGUUGUAAAGGUUUGUAUUUUUCAUUCCGGUCCAGACCUGAUUUGGUGACAGUGACACUAUCUGAUUCUCUUUUUUUAGGUAUUGUAUGUUGAUUCUUGGUUAUUAGACCUUUAAUUUCUCUGUGCAUUUAUAUCACAUCUUUCAUCCAUUGGGGCAGGAUCAUAUCCUCGAGCUCUGUGAUCAUGAUUUCAUUGAGGGAUAUAGAUUCCAUGUCUUUAUAGAACAAGGGCUCUAUCUUGGUGUAGCUAGGUUGAUGAUUCGAUGAUCCAUCAAAUCUAGUCUCAUUGUUUUGUCAAUGUGGAACCAUUCAUCAAUUCUGUACAGAAAUCAUAUGCCCCAAAUACUUUUGACCACUAGUGUACUUCGAUUUUGAUGAUCAAUAGCAAGCUUUGUUGAUUUCAAUAAUCAAGUUGAGGGAAACUUCCAAAAAUGACUGUCUUUGUUGUUCCAACUUCCCAAUUCAUACAUAUUCAUAUACUUAGUUGAAAUAAGCUUGCCUGGUAUACGAAAUUCACCACAUCCAUAACCUGCGGUAUGAGCAAUAACAGAAACAAAUAGAUGGAUGGUUUAUGUACAUCUUCACAAUAAUUUCUACCAUUUGGUUUCGUUUUGGACCAAUCUUGUUGUGACCUGCUUCAUAUCAUGUUGUUAUCUUCAUAAAAUUUAUAUUCUUGCUAUAGCUUUGAUCAAAAUUCUCUAGUAGCAUCAUCCAAGGCGUUUGGUCUCUACAACAUAACAUCAAUGUUUUUUUACGUGCACGUGCACAGGGAGGUUGACGACACCGACCUUCUCCGAAAUCGCUAGCAAGGAGAGGAGGAUAGGGUGGCCGAUGCUUCCCCGUGCCGACUUACACCGGAGGCGGAUCCUCCCUCCCUGUGUGCUUCUUCUUUCGUCCAAGCUAGGAGGCUUGCAUCUGGCUGCUCUUGACGAGCUCUUCAAGGUACCUACCCUCUCCCUUCCCUCUACUCUCUAAGAGAAAUGCCACACCUUGGUUCAUUUCAACUGUUCUUCCCUGUGAACUAUGCUAAAGAAAGAGACUACGUACAUACAGAGGCAAGAGACCAUUUUAGUUAUGCUGUGCAGCAUGCUAAAGAAAGAGUCUUGAUACAUUCAAGCCCUCCCUGGAUGGUUACACACCUGAUCUACUUCUAUCCUGACCAUGUAUGCAUGCAUGUUUGAUGUUAUUUCCUUCUUUCAUCCUAAAUCCCACCUAGUUCCAGUUCAUGUCUAUUGCAGCAAUGAACCAACCAAUUAGCCGAACUAAAAGGGCAACUUCCUCUAAAUAACAAUACCAUGUCACUACAAGGUAUAUUGAGUAUUCGAACUCAAUUGGCGUCAGACAUCACUACAUUUCUGAUUAUCCACCACAAGUUGUUAGCUCACAUGAUUCGAUUGACAUAUGGGCUCUAGACAAAGAGCCAACACAAAAAGACCUAUGAGGUUAAAAUUAGCUAACAUGGGGUUGCAAGUUCUGCUGGUGGCCAACAUUCCCUAGUCAUCUCAUCUUUCAAAAUGGACUAUUUGUCACACAUCUAAAUAUUGGGGUGAUGUAUGCUCAGUGCGUUGCUCUGUCUAGAGCUGGAAGACUAGCGUGAGUCCUUUUAAGAUUCAAGAUGUAUCUUUUUCAGUAUAUGAUUUUACACAUCUCCUUUAUAAACUAUAGGGUUUGUGGUGGUGUUAAAGUGUUGCUGACUUGAUGCAUGUGUUGCGCUUUCAGAUGCAUGCCAUGGCGUAUGUAUUAAACUGUUUGCUGAGACGGUUUUGGUGUCGUUGAGAUUGAUGAUGCAUGACGAUGUCGCAAGGUGCGGAGGAGAGAAGUAGACCCAAGAUCCAAGAUUUGCAAGCACCAGAUGAAAUGGCACGACGUGCGGGAGGGGCGUGCUAAUCUGUGCAUGUCUUAUUUGCAAGAUCCAAGAUUUGCAAGCACCAGAUUUGGUGUUUGUUGUCUGGUUGUUUUCUGGCAAAGCGCUAACUGUUGAUUGUGGUGCUCGAUGUAGUGUUGUGCACAUACACAUAAAAUGAAAUGUCAUGGCUGGUGCCUGCUCCUCUCUUUGUCGGCUGGCUGGUGGUGUUGACCUCAUGAACUAGCUCGCUAGUGUCGAAGGAAAUUCAAUUAUCCUUGUUUUAUGUAUGUGUUUUCCCCAACAAUGCAAUGCAAUGAAAUGAAUUUUUUGGUGAAAGGUUUAAAUAGCUGAUGUUGCCGCUGACGCAUUGUGUGGAUGAAUCUCUAAGAUUGGAUACUUUGGAAUUAUGGGGCCUAUCUGCAACUAGUUGGUUCAAUCAGGAUGGCAGUGAAUAUUUUUUGUGGCCGACUCAUCAUGAGCUAGUUUAUUUAGGUUGGAAGAUCAACAUGACCAAGUGUUUGUACUCAUGAACUAGCUAGCUGGUUGUGUAUGUGUUUUCCCCAACAAUGCAAUGGAAUGAAAUGAAUUUUUUGGCGAAAGGUUUGGAUAGCUGAUGGUGGUGCUGACGCAUUGUGUGGAUGAAUCUAUCUCUCAAAUGGAUACUUUGGUUCAAUCUGGAUGGGAUGAGUGAAUAUUGAAUAUAUAUUUUUUGGCCGACUCAUGAGCUAGUAGGCUGGAGGUUCAACAUGCAUAUCAUAUAGUGUGUGUGCUUUUUGCGAGCAAAUAAGAUUGUAGUAAGUUACUCUACAUCAAGAGACAUCGGGGAAAUUGUCUUGAUUAAGCCAUGAACACAAGUCAAAAAAUUUAUCACAAAUGUGUUUCCCUCUGGCACUUAUUUAAAUGUUUUAGUUAUUAUCAUCCUUUAGUAUGCAUGGGACCAGCAGCAAAGAAUGCCAACAGUCUGUCUGUCCAGUAAGCAGGCAUGUCACGUUGACUCUCUUUCCCAUGAGAAGAAGCGUGUCACUUAAUCAUCUUUUGCUGUAAGAAUUGAAUGCGCGUCUAGAAAUGCCCAUCAGCCAUAUAUGAAGGGUCUGGCUUGUGCCAACUCAUCGAUCUGCAGCACCGUCGCGUCCUCCUUUCCUCCAUCUAUCAGCCGUCCAAGGCCAUCUCUCUAUAUAUACCUGAGAUGAUCUUUCAUCCGCGUGCGGGGAUCUUUCAUCUGUCACCCGCAUAAAUAAUUUUCAGCAACAGAUCUCAUCUACUCCAAAAUUAUAUUAUGCAAUACCCAUACAUCUCCAUGUAUUCUAGAUCGUAACCUGCAUCUACGCAAAGCAUGGCUCUUGAUGCCACUGUUGGGUAACGCAACAGAAAACAAAAAAUUUCAGACCUACGCACCAGCCCAGGACCACUAUGGAGACGCAUACAUGGUUUGAUCUUUUUCGUUACCGACUCGUAGCGCAGCGGGAAGUAGAGUCGAUGACGAUCGGCGGUGCAGAUCCCCGCAGCUAGGAUUUCAACCUCCCAACCGCGAGGAUGUACUCCCUCAUCUGCCCAACGGACAGCCCUCCCGGAAGCGGUCGGACAGUCCCUCGGACGGUGUUGCGGACAGCCCUUCGGGAGGUACUCUCAAAGCUCGGACGGUCACUCGGACAGCCCUUCGGGAGGACUCACAGAACUCGGACCGCCACUUGGACAGCCCUUCGGGAGGCACUCUCAAAACAGCCCCUCGGGCACAAAGAUCGAAACUACAACCUCUCUACGGGGUUGAACACAUACGGUGUCAUCUAUCCGGCAGGGCUUCACCGUCCAGAACUAGUUCCUGUUGCAACCCAGACAGCCUUUCGGCUCUAUGAAACUAUUUCGUUGGGAGGGAGAGAAGAAGCCAGAUCAUCGCAAUGGCAUGUGUAUGUGAGAAUGGAA
rnacentral:lncRNA from 1 species